GUUGAACGCUGGCGGCAGGCCUAACACAUGCAAGUCGAGCGGAUGAAGGGAGCUUGCUCCUGGAUUCAGCGGCGGACGGGUGAGUAAUGCCUAGGAAUCUGCCUGGUAGUGGGGGAUAACGUCCGGAAACGGGCGCUAAUACCGCAUACGUCCUGAGGGAGAAAGUGGGGGAUCUUCGGACCUCACGCUAUCAGAUGAGCCUAGGUCGGAUUAGCUAGUUGGUGGGGUAAAGGCCUACCAAGGCGACGAUCCGUAACUGGUCUGAGAGGAUGAUCAGUCACACUGGAACUGAAACACGGUCCAGACUCCUACGGGAGGCAGCAGUGGGGAAUAUUGGACAAUGGGCGAAAGCCUGAUCCAGCCAUGCCGCGUGUGUGAAGAAGGUCUUCGGAUUGUAAAGCACUUUAAGUUGGGAGGAAGGGCAGUAAGUUAAUACCUUGCUGUUUUGACGUUACCAACAGAAUAAGCACCGGCUAACUUCGUG
rnacentral:rRNA from 1 species